CCUACGGGAGGCAGCAGUGGGGAAUAUUGGACAAUGGGCGCAAGCCUGAUCCAGCCAUACCGCGUGGGUGAAGAAGGCCUUCGGGUUGUAAAGCCCUUUUGUUGGGAAAGAAAAGCAGCGGGCUAAUACCUUGCUGUUCUGACGGUACCCAAAGAAUAAGCACCGGCUAACUUCGUGCCAGCAGCCGCGGUAAUACGAAGGGUGCAAGCGUUACUCGGAAUUACUGGGCGUAAAGCGUGCGUAGGUGGUUGUUUAAGUCUGUUGUGAAAGCCCUGGGCUCAACCUGGGAACUGCAGUGGAAACUGGAUGACUAGAGUGUGGUAGAGGGUAGCGGAAUUCCCGGUGUAGCAGUGAAAUGCGUAGAGAUCGGGAGGAACAUCCAUGGCGAAGGCAGCUACCUGGACCAACACUGACACUGAGGCACGAAAGCGUGGGGAGCAAACAGGAUUAGAUACCCUGGUAGUCCACGCCCUAAACGAUGCGAACUGGAUGUUGGGUGCACUUUGGCACGCAGUAUCGAAGCUAACGCGUUAAG
rnacentral:rRNA from 1 species